rnacentral:tRNA from 1 species
UAAGAGGUGGCUGAGUUUUAGGCGUUAGAUUGUAAAUCUAAGAACGAGAGAGUCUCUCCCUUUUAA